UGAGUCGAAGGUGUUGCUCCUGUG
rnacentral:piRNA from 1 species